GAUACAUGAUACAAUGUGGACGAACCUUGAAGAUGUUAUGCUAAGUGAAAGAAGCUAGAAACAAAGAUGACACGUUUUAUUAUUCCAUUCAUAUGAAAUAUCCAGAACAAGGUCACCCCAGGGAAGGCUGGAAGACAGAGGAAGAGGACAUGGUCUGUUUUUGCAUCUUUCCUCCCACAUUGGCUAAAGAAGACAGAGGGAAGAGGACAAGGAUGAACUGUACUGAAAGGUGACUCCCGGAGAGUGAGCAGACUCUGGCCUUAGUCGGGGAGAAGGGGAGAUGGCGUCGCCGAAUUACGGCAUUCACUCUGCCUAUGGCCACCAGUUUCGCUGCCUGGCUUCCUGGAGCCAGUGGGGCUUCCUGCAGGUCGGGAGACAGACCUUAUGCCUCUGUGGCCUCAGCUCUACCCCGAAAACUGAGGGCUGACAAUAAAUGUCUGCGAAAGAAGCCUGUGAGGGAAUUAGAGAGAUUCUGACCUGCCUGAGAAACCAGAAGUGGAUAGAUUGGUAUGAAUCAAGUGUGAAGCACGCUCAGGAUAGAGGGUCCCGACUCCUCGUCCCCAAGAGCUGAGCCUUGAUCGUCCUGGCAGAGGCGUCCUGCUCUUUCGGCAGUCCACGGGCACAAGAGGUAACUCAAGGUGCUUGCAGAGAAAAACCUUUUUUUGCGGUGUGGUAGUUUCUUUUCUACUUCUUAGAGAUUUCCUUUUUGCCUUUACUCUCUCAGGUUUUCUUUUCUUUAUUUCAUUUUUGUUUUGUUUUUAAAAGUACUUAACUGCCACUUAAGGACUGCCCAACGUUUUGAUAAUAUUUUGCAAGCAAGUCAUGCCUUUUAAAGUUACACACUUAUAGAAAGUUACUACCAGUGGGAAAAAUCCUUUACCAAAUACAUAAAGAUGCAUGGCUGUGUCAUUUUCCUCACUGCAAAACCUAAUUUCAUGGACUUACCACCUCAUGUGUUUAGGACAUAAAUUUCAAUAUGUACUUCUAAAGAAGGAAGGAAAAAGAAUAAAAUUAAUAGAUGUUAUUUCUAAGUGAUGGUACUAUGAG
rnacentral:lncRNA from 1 species